UUUAGCUCGAAGGCGCACAUGUGACGCACACUAUGACGGCAUGUGCGACGCAUCACUAUUCGGACGCACCCUAUGCCUUCCACGAGCCUCAAGUGUUACGUUGGCCUUUCGCUUGAGUGUGCGUGGACUGUCUCGUACCACAUUGCUGUGGUCUGCAGCAGGGUCAUGUGGUACUGUAGCUGGUUGUGAUGACGUCCCUGGCUGUGCAACCUCGUUGACUUCCUCCGGCUCCGCACUGCAUCUAAUUGGGGGGACCCUCCUUGGUAGUACUUUCUGUGUGAAAAUGUGCUCUGGGAAGUCGAACUUGGUGGGCACAGCGUCAGGCCUCAAACGAACGAUCUGCCCUGUUCUGUCGAAGCAGCUGUCUUCAAAAUGUGUGCUGCAGACCACUGAUGUCUUGGACGGCGUCCAGUCCUUUCGCCUGACGUUCACCACCCAGUUUUUUAAAUGGUCCGGGCAGCUGUGAGGGAACCUGCAUUAAACCAUUUAUGCCAUGAAUUGCGGCAGGGAUGACAAGGCCGAUCCAGGCAAGCAAUUGGCGAUACCGUGAUCGCCAAACUCAAUGGUAGAUCCCACACCUGACAAGUGCGCUUCAACACCUGCUGCGUGCUGAGACCAUACAGAGAACUGCAUGAAGUCUGUACUAUCACAAUGACUCUAUCCAGAUAAAGUACUCAAAGUUUAACGUUUAGAUCUUGAGGUACGAGUCACAAAGUGCCGCGCACAUGCUUAACGGCUACGUUUUGUCACCCGCUCGUGGACUAAUAAAUCACAUGUAUUUAUAGA